rnacentral:rRNA from 1 species
UACGUAGGGGGCGAGCGUUGUCCGGAAUCAUUGGGCGUAAAGCGCGUGUAGGCGGCCCGGUAAGUCCGCUGUGAAAGUCCAGGGCUCAACCCUGGGAUGCCGGUGGAUACUGUCGGGCUCGAGUCCGGAAGAGGCGAGUGGAAUUCCUGGUGUAGCGGUGAAAUGCGCAGAUAUCAGGAGGAACACCAAUGGCGAAGGCAGCUCGCUAGGACGUGACUGACGCUGAGACGCGAAAGCGUGGGGAGCAAACAGG